rnacentral:rRNA from 1 species
CACGUAGGGAGCAAGCGUUGUCCGGAAUCACUGGGCGUAAAGAGCACGUAGGCGGCCAAUUAAGUCAGAUGUGAAACCCAAGGGCUCAACCCAUGGCCUGCAUUUGAAACUGGUUGGCUUGAGGACAGGAGAGGUAAGUGGAAUUCCUAGUGUAGCGGUGAAAUGCGUAGAUAUUAGGAGGAACACCAGUGGCGAAGGCGGCUUUCUGGACUGUAACAGACGCUGAGGCACGAAAGCGUGGGGAGCGAACAGG